rnacentral:rRNA from 1 species
ACGCUCGACACCUACGGUAGGCAGCAGUGGGGAAUAUUGCACAAUGGGGGAAACCCUGAUGCAGCGACGCCGCGUGGAGGAAGAAGGUCUUCGGAUUGUAAACUCCUGUUGUUGGGGAAAAAGAGGAUGGUACCCAACAAGGAAGUGACGGCUAACUACGUGCAGCAGCCGCGGUAAUCUGAGCGGGCUGGCAAGGC